ACCACUGGGUGAGGGGAUCUACUGACUUGCAAAAACAAAGCUCUUAAUCUCCCUGUCCAGUUUAAGAAUCCAGAAACAUACAAUUGAGCGGCAGUCCACAGAAACACACCACUAACCCGCUGCUUCCUACUGUGUAUCAGAGUCCAAGAGAAGCAGGAAAAUGGCUGUCACCUUCUGUGCUAACCUGGGCACCGCACUCAAGCAGACGACAAGGUCUUGCUCCAUAGCCUGGAGUGAUCUGAAACUUUCCUUGUGAUCAAGCUGACUUCCAGCUCUGGGCAGUCAUCCUACCUCAGCUCCGGAAUGUUAGGAUUAUACACGGCUCAUGUGUAUGCCUGUAUGUGGAGGCCAAAAGACAACCUCGGCUGUGGUUCCUCAGACAUCAGAUGCCUGAGUUUUUCCAGACAGCAAGAAGCCUGAUGCCUCCAUCACCCUCAGGGCAUUUACUUACUUGACUAAUCAUCCUCACACAACCUCAGGCCCCAGCUGCAAUGGCCAAGAGCUUGCUGGCUCACCACAGGGCCCCAAACAGCCAAGUCCCUCCCUACAAUGGGAAGGGAGCUGUGAAUGAACAAUGACUCACAGUGAUCACCAUGGACCCUGGGAGUGGAUUCUGCCCGCUUCUGCUGCUGUCUGGACUGAGAACUGGUGGAGACACGGAGUUGCUUUCCCUGUUG